rnacentral:rRNA from 1 species
UCGAGCGAACAGACGAGGAGCUUGCUCCUCUGACGUUAGCGGCGGACGGGUGAGUAACACGUGGAUAACCUACCUAUAAGACUGGGAUAACUUCGGGAAACCGGAGCUAAUACCGGAUAAUAUAUUGAACCGCAUGGUUCAAUAGUGAAAGACGGUUUUGCUGUCACUUAUAGAUGGAUCCGCGCCGCAUUAGCUAGUUGGUAAGGUAACGGCUUACCAAGGCAACGAUGCGUAGCCGACCUGAGAGGGUGAUCGGCCACACUGGAACUGAGACACGGUCCAGACUCCUACGGGAGGCAGCAGUGGGGAAUCUUCCGCAAUGGGCGAAAGCCUGACGGAGCAACGCCGCGUGAGUGAUGAAGGUCUUCGGAUCGUAAAACUCUGUUAUUAGGGAAGAACAAAUGUGUAAGUAACUAUGCACGUCUUGACGGUACCUAAUCAGAAAGCCACGGCUAACUACGUGCCAGCAGCCGCGGUAAUACGUAGGUGGCAAGCGUUAUCCGGAAUUAUUGGGCGUAAAGCGCGCGUAGGCGGUUUUUUUAAGUCUGAUGUGAAAGCCCACGGCUCAACCGUGGAGGGUCAUUGGAAACUGGAAAACUUGAGUGCAGAAGAGGAAAGUGGAAUUCCAUGUGUAGCGGUGAAAUGCGCAGAGAUAUGGAGGAACACCAGUGGCGAAGGCGACUUUCUGGUCUGUAACUGACGCUGAUGUGCGAAAGCGUGGGGAUCAAACAGGAUUA